UCUCUGUAGCGAUUAAAACAUAUGACGAGUGUGAUGUAAUCCAUUCUGUUAAACUAUGUGGAUAAUCAAGGCAUUUGUCUGAGAGAA
rfam:Triticum aestivum genome assembly, contig: Triticum_aestivum_CS42_TGACv1_scaffold_379240_5AL